rnacentral:rRNA from 1 species
CCUACGGGAGGCAGCAGUGGGGAAUAUUGGACAAUGGGGGAAACCCUGAUGCAGCGACGCCGCGUGAGUGAAGAAGUAAUUCGGUAUGUAAAGCUCUAUCAGCAGGGAAGAAAAUGACAGUAUCUGAGUAAGAAAACCCGGCGAACUACGUGCCAGCAGCGGCGGUAAAACGUAGGGGGGAAGCGUUAUCCGGAGUUACUGGGUGUAAAGGGAGCGUAGACGGGAGUGCAAGUCUGGAGUGAAAGGCGGGGGCUCAACCCCCGCACUGCUCUGGAAACUAUAUGGCUGGAGUGCAGGAGAGGUAAGUGGAAUUCCUAGUGUAGCGGUGAAAUGCGUAGAUAUUAGGAGGAACACCAGUGGCGAAGGCGGCUUACUGGACUGUAACUGACGUUGAGGCUCGAAAGCGUGGGGAGCAAACAGGAUUAGAUACCCGUGUAGUC